UUUCCGUAGGUGAACCUGCGGAAGGAUCAUUCAUAAUAAGUGUUGUAUGGCACUUUUUUAAAUCCAUAUCCACCUUGUGUGCAAUGUCAGGGUUGAUUUUUCUCUCGAGAGGAUCAACCCCAAACAUCAACUAUAUCUCAACUCUUUGUCUGAAAAAUAUUAUGAAUAAAACAAUUCAAAAUACAACUUUCAACAACGGAUCUCUUGGCUCUC
rnacentral:misc_RNA from 1 species